GCCUACAGCCAUACCACCCUGAACGUGCCCGAUAUCGUCUGGUCUCGGAAGCUAAGCAGGGUCGGGCCUGGUUAGUACGUGGAUGGGAGACCGCCUGGGAUACUGGGUGCUGUAGACU
rnacentral:rRNA from 1 species